rnacentral:tRNA from 2 species
AAGAGAGAUGCAUUGGUGGUUGUGCAGUUAGUUUGAAACUAAAAGGAGGGGGUUCGAUUCCCUCGUCUCUUG